rnacentral:rRNA from 1 species
UACGUAGGGUGCGAGCGUUGUCCGGAAUUAUUGGGCGUAAAGAGCUCGUAGGUGGUUUGUCGCGUUGUCCGUGAAAACUCACAGCUUAACUGUGGGCGUGCGGGCGAUACGGGCAGACUGGAGUACUGCAGGGGAGACUGGAAUUCCUGGUGUAGCGGUGGAAUGCGCAGAUAGUCAGGAGGAACACCGGUGGCGAAGGCGGGUCUCUGGGGCAGUAACUGACGCUGAGGAGCGAAAAGCGUGGGGAGCGAACAGG